rnacentral:rRNA from 1 species
CCUACGGGUGGCAGCAGUGAGGAAUAUUGGUCAAUGGGCGCGAGCCUGAACCAGCCAAGUCGCGUGAGGAAUGACGGUCCUACGGAUUGUAAACCUCUUUUGCCGGGGAGCAAACGUGCGCUCGUGAACGCACGUCGAGAGUACCCGGAGAAAAAGCAUCGGCUAACUCCGUGCCAGCAGCCGCGGUAAUACGGGGGAUGCAAGCGUUAUCCGGAUUUAUUGGGUUUAAAGGGUGCGUAGGCUGUGAGGUAAGUCAGCGGGGAAAUGCCCCCGCUCAACGGGGUGAAGUGCCAUUGAUACUGCCUUGCUGGAAUGCGGAUGCCGUGGGAGGAAUGUGUGGUGUAGCGGUGAAAUGCAUAGAUAUCACACAGAACACCGAUUGCGAAGGCAUCUCACGAAUCCGCGAUUGACGCUGAUGCACGAAAGCGUGGGUAUCAAACAGGAUUAGAUACCCUUGUAGUC